CAGCCGCCGCGGUAAUACGAAGGGGGCUAGCGUUGCUCGGAAUUACUGGGCGUAAAGGGAGCGUAGGCGGAUCGUUUAGUCAGGGGUGAAAUCCCAGGGCUCAACCUCGGAACUGCCUUUGAUACUGGCGAUCUUGAGUAUGGGAGAGGUGUGUGGAACUCCGAGUGUAGAGGUGAAAUUCGUAGAUAUUCGGAAGAACACCAGUGGCGAAGGCGACACACUGGCCCAUUACUGACGCUGAGGCUCGAAAGCGUGGGGAGCAAACAGGAUUAGAUACCCCUGUAGUCCCUGUCUCUUAUAC
rnacentral:rRNA from 1 species